CCUACGGGGGACAGCAGUAGGGAAUAUUGCUCAAUGGGGGAAACCCUGAAGCAGCAACGCCGCGUGGAGGAUGAAGGUUUUAGGAUUGGAAACUCCUUUUGGUAGAGAAGAGUAUGACGGGAGCUAACGAAUAAGCACCGGCGAACGCCGAGCCAGCAGCCGAGGUAAGACGGAGGGGGCAAGCGUUACUCGGAAUAACGGGGCGUAAAGAGUGCGUAGGGGGGGUAAGAAGUCAGAUGUGAAAUCCUGUAGCUUAACUCCAGAACUGCCUUUGAAACUUUUACUCUGGAGUGUGGGAGAGGUAUGUGGAAUUCUUGGUGUAGCGGUCAAAUCCGUAGAUAUCACGCGGAAUCCUCAUUGCGAAGGCGACCUGCUGGUACAUUACUGACGCUCAUGCCCGAACGCGUGGGUAGCAAACAGGAUUAGCUACCCUAGUAGUC
rnacentral:rRNA from 1 species